rnacentral:rRNA from 1 species
UGGGGAAUAUUGCACAAUGGGCGCAAGCCUGAUGCAGCAACGCCGCGUGAGGGACGACGGCCUUCGGGUUGUAAACCUCUUUUAGUAGGGAAGAAGCGAAAGUGACGGUACCUGCAGAAAAAGCACCGGCUAACUACGUGCCAGCAGCCGCGGUAAUACGUAGGGUGCGAGCGUUGUCCGGAAUUAUUGGGCGUAAAGAGCUCGUAGGCGGUCUGUCGCGUCUGCUGUGAAAACCCGAGGCUCAACCUCGGGCCUGCAGUGGGUACGGGCAGACUAGAGUGCGGUAGGGGAGAAUGGAAUUCCUGGUGUAGCGGCGGAAUGCGCAGAUAUCAGGAGGAACACCGAUGGCGAAGGCAGUUCUCUGGGCCGUAACUGACGCUGAGGAGCGAAAGCGUGGGGAGCGAACAGGAUUAGAUACCCUGGUAGUCCACGCCGUAAACGUUGGGCGCUAGAUGUGGGGACCAUUCCACGGUUUCCGUGUCGCAGCUAACGCAUUAAGCGCCCCGCCUGGGGAGUACGGCCGCAAGGCUAAAACU